rnacentral:rRNA from 1 species
CCUACGGGAGGCAGCAGUGGGGGAUAUUGCACAAUGGGGGAAACCCUGAUGCAGCGACGCCGCGUGGGUGAAGAAGCGCCUCGGCGCGUAAAGCCCUGUCAGCAGGGAAGAAAAUGACGGUACCUGAAGAAGAAGCCCCGGCUAACUACGUGCCAGCAGCCGCGGUAAUACGUAGGGGGCAAGCGUGAUCCGGAUUUACGGGGUGUAAAGGGGGCGCAGACGGCGAUGCAAGCCAGGAGUGAAAGCCCGGGGCCCAACCCCGGGACUGCUCUUGGAACUGCGUGGCUAGAGUGCAGGAGGGGCAGGCGGAAUUCCUGGUGUAGCGGUGAAAUGCGUAGAUAUCAGGAGGAACCCCGGUGGCGAAGGCGGCCUGCUGGACUGCAACUGACGUUGAGGCCCGAAAGCGUGGGGAGCAAACAGGAUUAGAUACCCGAGUAGUC